rnacentral:lncRNA from 1 species
GGGAGCGUCUACACUCCUGGCCGAGGGAGCCAGGCAGUCUCUUUGCAUCUUCCCAGCACCGUGGUGACAAGUAGCUGCCCUGGGUUGCAAGAUGGGAAGAGGAACUCUGCUUCCUUCCAGACCCUUCUGUGAGUUCACCACGACCUGAGAAAGAACUCAGACAAGGUGUACCAGACAAUGUUUGGAACUACGAAGAAAGAAGAGAGAGAGAGAAAGAUGAAGGAAAUGAGAGAAGCUCACCUGAUGAAAAGAAAUGCCUCUAGGAUACUCGCAGCUCAUCACUUUGCCAAGCUGUGAUUACAUUUUUACCACAAUUCGCCUGUUAAGACAGCAAGAUGCAUACCUAAAAAAUAAAUUCGACCACAUAUCACACAGGAUUUGAAAUCUAACUCUGUGAACACCG